rnacentral:rRNA from 1 species
GCAAGUCGAGGGGUAACAGGGUUUUCGGACCGCUGACGACCGGCGAACGGGUGAGUUACGCGUACGCAACUUGCCUUCAAGCGGAGGAUAGCCCCGGGAAACUGGGAUUAAUACUCCAUGGUAUCAUAGAGUCGCAUGGCUUUAUGAUUAAAGACCAGUCGCUUGGAGAUAGGCGUGCGUGCUAUUAGCUAGUUGGUAAGGUAACGGCUUACCAAGGCUACGAUAGCUAGGGGGCGUGAGAGCGUGGCC